UACGUAGGGUGCGAGCGUUGUCCGGAAUUAUUGGGCGUAAAGAGCUCGUAGGCGGUGUGUCACGUCGGCCGUGAAAACCUGCAGCUUAACUGUGGGCGUGCGGUCGAUACGGGCAUCACUGGAGUUCGGCAGGGGAGACUGGAAUUCCUGGUGCAGCGGUGAAAUGCGCAGAUAUCAGGAGGAACACCGGUGGCGAAGGCGGGUCUCUGGGCCGAUACUGACGCUGAGGAGCGAAAGCGUGGGGAGCAAACAGG
rnacentral:rRNA from 1 species